AGAGUUUGAUCCUGGCUCAGGAUGAACGCUAGCGGCAGGCCUAAUACAUGCAAGUCGAACGGUAAAUAUUGUAGCAAUACGAUAUGAGAGUGACGUACGGGUGCGUAACACGUAUGCAACCUACCCUUUACAGGCGGAUAGCUCGGGGAAACUCGAAUUAACCCGCCGUGGUAUAACUGAAUGGCAUCAUUUGAUUAUUAAAACUCCGGUGGUAAAGGAUGGGCAUGCGUCUGAUUAGUUAGUUGGCGGUGUAACGGACCACCAAGACGAUGAUCAGUAGGGGAACUGAGAGGUUGAUCCCCCACACUGGCACUGAGAUACGGGCCAGACUCCUACGGGAGGCAGCAGUAGGGAAUAUUGGUCAAUGGAUGCAAGUCUGAACCAGCCAUGCCGCGUGCAGGAAGAAGGCCUUAUGGGUUGUAAACUGCUUUUGUCAGGGGAUAAAAUGAGCGUGCGCGCUUAAUUGAAGGUACCUGGCGAAUAAGCCACGGCUAACUACGUGCCAGCAGCCGCGGUAAUAC
rnacentral:rRNA from 1 species